rnacentral:lncRNA from 1 species
GGUGCCGAUGAACCCGGCGAUGUGGCUGCGCUCGAUCGAGAUGGUCGACGGCGACGUUGCGCCGGUGCACGCGAGGUCGACGGCGAUUUAGGAGGAGAGCUCAGAGAGGUGAAGGAGAGGGAUGAGAGAGGAGAGGUGAAGGAGAGGGGUAGAGCUCGAUCGAGGUCGAGCUCCGCGUGGGGCGCGAAUGGGGUGGGGAGCAAACAGGGUUAGGGUGGGAGGUGUGCUUCGGUUUGUUUUGGUUCGAAUUAGAGUUAGGGUUAGGAUUAUAUUAGUGGUCAAAUAAAUAUAUUUAAUAUAAAAUUAACGGCUAUUUAAAAUAAUUGCCGCUAAAACAUAUUGAUAAAAAGUAUUAACGGCUGUCCA